rnacentral:lncRNA from 1 species
UGGUAUACUAGCCGAGCUCACGGUCAGGAGCGGCCUUGGGGACAUCUACAUUAAGAUGAUGAACUUGUUAUGUUAUUAUGUUCAUUUGAAUAUUGUUUAUGCUAUGAGUUAAUUAUGCUUACAUUUGAUCAUGGGAUUAAUGGAUUAUUUAUGCUUCCUUGACAAUUGCUAUUUAAUUAUGAACAUGCUAUCCACUAUCAAAAGCUAAAUGCAGUCAAACCAGUGUCAGCUAUUUGAGCCUCAUGAACCCCUGGUUAUACUUGUUGAGUACGAUAUGUGCUCACUCUUGCAAUUUCCCAACACCUCAGGGUACGAUAAUGAAGAUGACUGGAAUGAGGAUUAUCGGUACGAGUACUAGGUUUGGAGUCAACCAGUCAACAGUGUCCCUGUGUGGAGCUUCCGUCGAGAGCGUUGUGUACAUCUUGCUAUCAUUUAUGUAAAAGACUAUGUGAUUUCUUAUGUUUCGCUAUGUAAUAAACACUGCAAUGGUACAUUUGAGAUUUGUCUACUUAUUUGUGCGACUAUAAAAAGAAAACAGAAAAUAAAAUAAAAUGGAAAAGGAAGGAAUAAAAAAAAAGAAAAGGCUCCAGGCCGACACCCCGCGGCCCAGUACCCCUUUCCCAUUCCCUUUUCCCUCCCGCACUCGGCCCACUCUCUCUCCCGGCCCAACCGCGCGCGCCUCCCCUUCUCAGUCGCUGGCAGCUGGGCCCCGCCCGUCAGCGCUUCCCUUCCUUCUUCCUGGACGCGAGCCGAGCAGGAGACCUUCUCCGGCCGAACUAAUCCCGAAACCCCGGGAUUUCUUUCCCAAGGAGGCAAACCGAGUCCUACAAAGUCCUUUUCCCGGAGCCGCGGACUCCUUCUGCAUCCAAACCGCAACAAAACCAAACCCUAGGUGCCCUGUGUGAGCUCGAUUGGAUCUCGCCGAAACUCUAUCCUAACCGCCGCUGUCGCGUGCGUCCUCCGCUCCCCCUCAGCCCAAGAAGAUCGCCUACACGAGUUCGGGGCAAGCUCCUCUUCCCCCCGGUGGUUUCCCUUCGUGCAGAGAGGCUAGG